ACACAGCCUACAGGUCAUCCUCAUUUUGAAGAAUCUCCGCUGCAAUAGGUUACAAGGUUUUAUAUAGCGCAAGGCGCACCAGUUACAUAGGGUCUAAAUUCUAGAACCAUGGCGUAAGGCUCAGAAGCAAACCACACUGUCUGUGUAUGAGAAGGAAUAAAUUGGUUACAAUUUUGACAUCUACCUGACUUGGCUAAAGUUAGUGCCAGUAGUUGGCUAAUACGUAAAGCGACCAAAAGAUGAACAGAUCUUGAAGGCUUUACUUGCUGCUCAUGCUUUACUUCAACGGUUAACUCAAUCGUUCAUCUAUACGUUUCAACCAAUUUAUUUUCCAAUCCAUCUCUCUUGGCAAUUAAGGAACUGAGGGGUUUGUCUAACUUCUGUUGUCCAAGAGCUUUUGGGUGAUAAGAAAUGAUCUUCAGGACCUCUUAUGUCUGCCCCACGCAGACCACGCGCAGACGUUUGAGUCUGCAGUGUGUUUGUUUUCUCGAAGACCUUUCAUUAAAAAAGGUCUGCGCGACCUCUUUUUCAUGCAGACAUGGAUCAAGCUCUUCAUACCUCUUCUGCUCUUUUUUUCUCCCAGAUGCAACAAACACUGCCCUAGUUCCUUCUCCCCUCCUCCUACGUAGCCGACCACCCCUCCUCUUCCUCCACACCACCGGCCGCCCAUCCUCCUCCUCUACACCGCCGACCUCCUCCUUCCUCUCUGCCGGCCACCCUUCCUCCUCUACACCACCGGCCACCCCUCCUCCUCCUCCUCCUCCUCCUCCUUCACACCGCCGACCUCCUCCUCCCUCUCUGCCGACCACCCCUCCUCCUCCUUCCUCUGCGGUUACUCGGAGAACGUUGGAGAUCAUGUUACUCAUCCAAUCAGGAUCUUGCAAGAUCUCAGUCUUGAGUUUGAUGAUAUGAAUACGGAGUAUAAAAAAGGUUCUGUCUAGAUGUCCUCUCUUGGUUGGUCUGGUGGGUAAGCGGUCAAAAAUCAAAACGGGUUGAAUUAAGUGCAGCUGAAAAUAGGUCGGAUCGGGUUGCAACUUGAUGUUUGUUUGAAACUUGUAUGUGGUUAAAACUUGAUGUAAAUUCACAUGUCGACUAGUGUUUGUUUGAAACUUGUAUGUGGUUAAAACUUGAUGUUUGUUUGAAACUUGUAUGUGGUUAAAACUUGAUGUAAAUUCAUAUGCAAAGCAUGGAUUCAAUGAUUUAAAAAAAGUGUUAUUGUUUUUUUAUAAAUAUUAUUUCAGUAUUGUAUAACUAUUACUUAUGUUUGAAUGUUAAAAAAACUCUUUAAAGUUAAAUAAAAUCAGUUUAUUUA